rnacentral:rRNA from 1 species
CAGCCUGAUGCGCCAUGCCGCGUGUGUGAAGAAGGCCUUCGGGUUGUAAAGCACUUUCAGUCGUGAGGAAGGUAGUGUAGUUAAUAGCUGCAUUAUUUGACGUUAGCGACAGAAGAAGCACCGGCUAACUCCGUGCCAGCAGCCGCGGUAAUACGGAGGGUGCGAGCGUUAAUCGGAAUUACUGGGCGUAAAGCGCAUGCAGGUGGUUUGUUAAGUCAGAUGUGAAAGCCCGGGGCUCAACCUCGGAAUAGCAUUUGAAACUGGCAGACUAGAGUACUGUAGAGGGGGGUAGAAUUUCAGGUGUAGCGGUGAAAUGCGUAGAGAUCUGAAGGAAUACCGGUGGCGAAGGCGGCCCCCUGGACAGAUACUGACACUCAGAUGCGAAAGCGUGGGGAGCAAACAGGAUUAGAUACCCUGGUAGUCCACGCCGUAAACGAUGUCUACUUGGAGGUUGUGGCCUUGAGCCGUGGCUUUCGGAGCUAACGCGUUAAGUAGACCGCCUGGGGAGUACGGUCGCAAGAUUAAAACUCAAAUGAAUUGACGGGGGCCCGCACAAGCGGUGGAGCAUGUGGUUUAAUUCGAUGCAACGCGAAGAACCUUACCUACUCUUGACAUCCAGAGAACUUUCCAGAGAUGGAUUGGUGCCUUCGGGAACUCUGAGACAGGUGCUGCAUGGCUGUCGUCAGCUCGUGUUGUGAAAUGUUGGGUUAAGUCCCGCAACGAGCGCAACCCUUAUCCUUGUUUGCCAGCGAGUAAUGUCGGGAACUCCAGGGAGACUGCCGGUGAUAAACCGGAGGAAGGUGGGGACGACGUCAAGUCAUCAUGGCCCUUACGAGUAGGGCUACACACGUGCUACAAUGGCGCAUACAGAGGGCAGCAAGCUAGCGAUAGUGAGCGAAUCCCAAAAAGUGCGUCGUAGUCCGGAUUGGAGUCUGCAACUCGACUCCAUGAAGUCGGAAUCGCUAGUAAUCGUGGAUCAGAAUGCCACGGUGAAUACGUUCCCGGGCCUUGGACACACCGCCCGUCACACCAUGGGGAGUGGGCUGCAAAAAAAGUAGGUAGUUUAACCUUCGGGAGGACGCUUACCACUUUGUGGUUCAUGACUGGGGUGAAGCG